rnacentral:rRNA from 2 species
AGACCCGAAACCCGGUGAUCUAGCCAUGGGCAGGUUGAAGGUUGGGUAACACUAACUGGAGGACCGAACCGACUAAUGUUGAAAAAUUAGCGGAUGACCUGUGGCUGGGGGUGAAAGGCCAAUCAAACCGGGAGAUAGCUGGUUCUCCCCGAAAGCUAUUUAGGUAGCGCCUCGUGAAUUCAUCUCCGGGGGUAGAGCACUGUUUCGGCUAGGGGGCCAUCCCGGCUUACCAACCCGAUGCAAACUGCGAAUACCGGAGAAUGUUAUCACGGGAGACACACGGCGGGUGCUAACGUCCGUCGUGAAGAGGGAAACAACCCAGACCGCCAGCUAAGGUCCCAAAGUCAUGGUUAAGUGGGAAACGAUGUGGGAAGGCCCAGACAGCCAGGAUGUUGGCUUAGAAGCAGCCAUCAUUUAAAGAAAGCGUAAUAGCUCACUGGUCGAGUCGGCCUGCGCGGAAGAUGUAACGGGGCUAAACCAUGCACCGAAGCUGCGGCAGCGAACGUAUCACUUAAAGCGAUUCAGCGGGUUACGAUUGACGGAGCGAAGCGACGUCAAAGCGUAUACAAAGUCGAGUCGGUUUAAGGAUACGUUCGUUGGGUAGGGGAGCGUUCUGUAAGCCUGUGAAGGUGUGUCGUGAGGCAUGCUGGAGGUAUCAGAAGUGCGAAUGCUGACAUAAGUAACGAUAAAGCGGGUGAAAAGCCCGCUCGCCGGAAGACCAAGGGUUCCUGUCCAACGUUAAUCGGGGCAGGGUGAGUCGACCCCUAAGGCGAGGCCGAAAGGCGUAGUCGAUGGGAAACGGGUUAAUAUUCCCGUACUUGGUGUUACUGCGAAGGGGGGACGGAGAAGGCUAUGUUGGCCGGGCGACGGUUGUCCCGGUUUAAGCGUGUAGGCUGGUUUUCCAGGCAAAUCCG